rnacentral:ncRNA from 1 species
CACCGCGAGGUGUAGGGUGAAGGAAGUCGGCGGCAAACCUCCGAGGCGACGAACAGAAACCUUAUACAAGGCCAAGCCAGUGGAUAAGUGUGCAGAAGAACACAAAGUCCAAUACCUAUCCGGAAACUGGUGGGGUAAAUGAGGCGCCUACAUGGAGGGA